rnacentral:rRNA from 1 species
GAUGAACGCUGGCGGCGUGCCUAAUACAUGCAAGUCGAGCGAACAGACGAGGAGCUUGCUCCUCUGACGUUAGCGGCGGACGGGUGAGUAACACGUGGAUAACCUACCUAUAAGACUGGGAUAACUUCGGGAAACCGGAGCUAAUACCGGAUAAUAUAUUGAACCGCAUGGUUCAAUAGUGAAAGACGGUUUUGCUGUCACUUAUAGAUGGAUCCGCGCCGCAUUAGCUAGUUGGUAAGGUAACGGCUUACCAAGGCAACGAUGCGUAGCCGACCUGAGAGCGUGAUCGGCCACACGGGAACUGAGACACGGUCCAGACUCCUACGGGAGGCAGCAGUAGGGAAUCUUCCGCGAUGGGCGAAAGCUUGACGGAGCAACGCCGCGUGAGUGAUGAAGGUCUUCGGAUCGUAAAACUCUGUUAUUAGGGAAGAACAAAUGUGUAAGUAACUAUGCACGUCUUGACGGUACCUAAUCAGAAAGCCACGGCUAACUACGUG